rnacentral:rRNA from 1 species
AUUGAACGCUGGCGGCAUGCCUUACACAUGCAAGUCGAACGGCAGCACGGGUGCUUGCCCCUGGUGGCGAGUGGCGAACGGGUGAGUAAUACAUCGGAACAUGUCCUGUAGUGGGGGAUAGCCCGGCGAAAGCCGGAUUAAUACCGCAUACGAUCUACGGAUGAAAGCGGGGGACCUUCGGGCCUCGCGCUACAGGGUUGGCCGAUGGCUGAUUAGCUAGUUGGUGGGGUAAAGGCCUACCAAGGCGACGAUCAGUAGCUGGUCUGAGAGGACGACCAGCCACACUGGGACUGAGACACGGCCCAGACUCCUACGGGAGGCAGCAGUGGGGAAUUUUGGACAAUGGGCGAAAGCCUGAUCCAGCAAUGCCGCGUGUGUGAAGAAGGCCUUCGGGUUGUAAAGCACUUUUGUCCGGAAAGAAAUCCUUGGCCCUAAUACGGUCGGGGGAUGACGGUACCGGAAGAAUAAGCACCGGCUAACUACGUG